rnacentral:rRNA from 1 species
UGAGGAAUAUUGCACAAUGGGCGCAAGCCUGAUGCAGCGACGCCGCGUGGGUGAAGAAGGUUUUCGGAUCGUAAAACCCUUUUCUGUGUGACGAGAACGGACGGUAGCACAGGAAUAAGUCUCGGCUAACUACGUGCCAGCAGCCGUGGUAAAACGUAGGAGACAAACGUUAUCCGGAGUUACUGGGCGUAAAGGGCGUGCAGGCGGCAGUCUAAGUCUGGCGUGAAAUAUCCCGGCUUAACCGGGGAAGGUCGUCGGAUACUGGGCAGCUAGAGGGCGGUAGAGGCGUGUGGAAUUCCGGGUGUAGUGGUGAAAUGCGUAGAGAUCCGGAGGAACACCAGUGGCGAAGGCGACACGCUGGGCCGCACCUGACGCUAAGACGCGACAGCAUGGGGAGCAAACAGGAUUAGAUACCCGCGUAGUCCCUGAGCGGGCUGGCAAGGCGCAU